AUGAAUUCCGUUCUCUUGCAUGUCACUCCAGGUCUGUCGGCUGCACCAACAGUGGUCCAGAUCCCUACUGCGGCUUCUAUUCGGCCGGGAGAACAGUUCAGUUUUCAGUGCAGUUUGGAGAGAGGCGGCAUGGGCAGCUACACCAUGUUCUGGUACCGGCAAGUCGGUACGAGUAUGGAGUGGGUCUGCAACGAGCUCGGCUCAUGCGACGCACCCUUUAAACCUCGGUUCGCCACUUUGCUCGAAGCUGCACAGAACGGCUUCACUCUGCAGCUCAGCAGCUGCAAGGAGACGGACUCGGCGACCUACUUCUGCGCAGCAAGUCCCGCACGGCGGCGCACGUCCCCGACCGCCUCAGACUAA